AUUGAACGCUGGCGGCAGGCCUAACACAUGCAAGUCGAGCGAGUGGCGGACGGGUGAGUAAUGUAUGGGGAUCUGCCUGAUGGAGGGGGAUAACUACUGGAAACGGUGGCUAAUACCGCAUACUAUAGGAUGAACCCAAGUGGGAUUAGGUAGUAGGUGGGGUAAAGGCUCACCAAGGCGACGAUCUCUAGCUGGUCUGAGAGGAUGAUCAGCCACACGGGGACUGGGACACGGCCCAGACUCCUACGGGAGGCAGCAGUGGGGAAUAUUGCGCAAUGGGCGCAAGCCUGAUGCAGCCAUGCCGCGUGUAUGAAGAAGGCCUUAGGGUUGUAAAGUACUUUCAGCGGGGAGGCGUUACCCGCAGAAGAAGCACCGGCUAACUCCGUGCCAGCAGCCGCGGUAAUAC
rnacentral:rRNA from 1 species